rnacentral:lncRNA from 1 species
AACGACUUCGAUCCGUGUAUAGAAGCCUCGACGCUACCCGCGGAUCCACCGCCGCGUCCGACGGAGACGGCGCCGUCGGUUUCUUCACCACCGCUGACGGCCGCGGUUCCCCUUGGGCGAGGGCAUCGCGCGAAGCUGCCUUCCGUACGGUUACGCGAUUUUGUCGCAGCCACCACGAUACCGUCAAGCCCCUCUGUUCCGUCACCUCCUUCAACAGAAUCCUCAGGUGUUUCGUAUCCUAUACAUGAUUUUGU